rnacentral:rRNA from 1 species
GACGAACGCUGGCGGCGUGCUUAACACAUGCAAGUCGAACGGAAAGGCCCUGCUUUUGUGGGGUGCUCGAGUGGCGAACGGGUGAGUAACACGUGAGUAACCUGCCCUUGACUUUGGGAUAACUUCAGGAAACUGGGGCUAAUACCGGAUAGGAGCUCCUGCUGCAUGGUGGGGGUUGGAAAGUUUCGGCGGUUGGGGAUGGACUCGCGGCUUAUCAGCUUGCUGGUGGGGUAGUGGCUUACCAAGGCUUUGACGGGAAGCCGGCCUGAGAGGGUGACCGGCCACAUUGGGACUGAGAUACGGCCCAGACUCCUACGGGAGGCAGCAGUGGGGAAUAUUGCACAAUGGGCGGAAGCCUGAUGCAGCAACGCCGCGUGCGGGAUGACGGCCUUCGGGUUGUAAACCGCUUUCGCCUGUGACGAAGCGUGAGUGACGGUAAUGGGUAAAGAAGCACCGGCUAACUACGUG